rnacentral:rRNA from 1 species
UGGGGAAUAUUGGGCAAUGGGCGCAAGCCUGACCCAGCCAUGCCGCGUGAGUGAUGAAGGCCUUCGGGUCGUAAAGCUCUGUGGGGAGGGAAGAACAAGCAGACAGCUAAUACCUGUCGGCCCUGACGGUACCUCCUUAGCAAGCACCGGCUAACUCCGUGCCAGCAGCCGCGGUAAUACGGAGGGUGCAAACGUUGCUCGGAAUUAUUGGGCGUAAAGCGCACGUAGGCGGCCGAAUAAGUCGUGUGUGAAAGCCCAGGGCUUAACCCUGGAAGUGCACUCGAAACUGCUCGGCUUGAAUAUGGAAGAGGGUCGCGGAAUUCCCGGUGUAGAGGUGAAAUUCGUAGAUAUCGGGAGGAACACCAGUGGCGAAGGCGGCGACCUGGGCCAAUAUUGACGCUGAGGUGCGAAAGCGUGGGGAGCAAA